rnacentral:tRNA from 1 species
GCCUGGGUGGCUCAGCGGUUGAGCACCUGCCUCCCGCUCAGGUUGUGAUCCCAGGUCCCAGGAUCGAAUCCUGCAUCAGGUU